UGGGGAAUUUUGCGCAAUGGGGGCAACCCUGAUCCAGCAAUGCCGCGUGAGUGAAGAAGGCCUUCGGGUUGUAAAGCUCUUUCGGCGGGGACGAAACGGUCCGUGACAACACCACGGACUAAUGACAGUACUCGCAGAAGAAGCACCGGCUAACUACGUGCCAGCAGCCGCGGUAAUACGUAGGGUGCAGGCGUUAAUCGGAAUUACUGGGCGUAAAGCGUGCGCAGGCGGCUCCUUAAGUCAGAUGUGAAAUCCCCGGGCUUAACCUGGGAACUGCGUUUGAAACUGAGGGGCUAGAGUGUGGAAGAGGGGGGUGGAAUUCCAGGUGUAGCGGUGAAAUGCGUAGAUAUCGGGAGGAACAUCAGUGGCGAAGGCGGCCCUCUGGUCCAGUACUGACACUCAAGUGCGAAAGCGUGGGGAGCAAACAGGAUUAGAUACCCUUGUAGUCCCUGAGCGGGCUGGCAAGGCGCAU
rnacentral:rRNA from 1 species